rnacentral:rRNA from 1 species
GAUGAACGCUGGCGGCGUGCCUAAUACAUGCAAGUCGAGCGAACGGACGAGAAGCUUGCUUCUCUGAUGUUAGCGGCGGACGGGUGAGUAACGCGUGGAUAACCUACCUAUAAGACUGGGAUAACUUCGGGAAACCGGAGCUAAUACCGGAUAAUAUUUUGAACCGCAUGGUUCAAAAGUGAAAGACGGUCUUGCUGUCACUUAUAGAUGGAUCCGCGCUGCAUUAGCUAGUUGGUAAGGUAACGGCUUACCAAGGCAACGAUGCAUAGCCGACCUGAGAGGGUAAUCGGCCACACUGGAACUGAGACACGGUCCAGACUCCUACGGGAGGCAGAAGUAGGGAAUCUUCCGCAAUGGGCGAAAGCCUGACGGAGCAACGCCGCGUGAGUGAUGAAGGUCUUCGGAUCGUAAAACUCUGUUAUUAGGGAAGAACAUAUGUGUAAGUAACUGUGCACAUCUUGACGGUACCUAAUCAGAAAGCCACGGCUAACUACGUG